CUGCAAACUUUGAGAGGAAGGGAGUGCAAGGUUGUCUGAUUGGUUUUCGAGGGCUAGAAGGUAUAUGAAGAUGCCCCAAUGGCUAAACGCUGAACAGUGGGAGAAACUUAAGGCAUAUUGGCGAACUCCUGAGUUUAUCGCCAAGUCUGAGCAGGAAAAGGCUGCCCGUGCAUCCCAGAAAGGUGGCUCUUUGCACUGCGGGUGCAAGAAGUCAGGGGCACGUGGCUAGGACAAUGAAAAAAGCUACGGGACAGAUGCCAACUCAGGAUCAGCUAUUCCUAAAGACCCACACAAAAAAGAAGAAGCAGGAGUCGGAUCCGACCGUAUGGGUUGAGGACAGGGCUCGUAAUUCCUAUACGCAAUUUAUGGAUGAUGUGGACCAGUACAGCCAAACUCAGCCUGAGCAUCCGAGCCGUCCUCCACCGGAAUUAGAGAUAGAUUUUUGGUGUAGAGCAGUUGGGGGAGUACAAAAGGGUAGAGCGUACGGUCUAGGCCCAAGGAACAACUUAAGUCGCCUUCGGUCAAGAUUGCGAGGUGAAGGGUCUUCUCGACAAGUCAAGGGAGUUGAUG